rnacentral:rRNA from 1 species
UUGGAGUUGGCCCUUGUCUAUGUUCCUUGGAACAGGACGUCACAGAGGGUGAGAAUCCCGUGCGAUGAGGUGUCCAAUUCUAUGUAAAGUGCUUUCGAAGAGUCGAGUUGUUUGGGAAUGCAGCUCUAAGUGGGUGGUAAAUUCCAUCUAAAGCUAAAUAUUGGCGAGAGACCGAUAGCGAACAAGUACAGUGAUGGAAAGAUGAAAAGAACUUUGAAAAGAGAGUGAAAAAGUACGUGAAAUUGUUGAAAGGGAAGGGCUUGAGAUCAGACUCGGUAUUUUGCAAGCCUAUCCUUCGUGGAGAGGUUUAUUAGCAGCUUACCGGGCCAGCAUCGGUUUGGAUGGUAGGAUAAUGGCAUUGGAAUGUGGCUCCUCGGAGUGUUAUAGCCUUUGUUGAUACUGCCUAUCUAGACCGAGGACUGCGUCUUUGACUAGGAUGCUGGCGUAAUGAUCUUAAGCCGCC